rnacentral:antisense_RNA from 1 species
GCUGUUACAAAGGCGUUUAGUUUAUUCUCAUCAGUAUCACUGAUAUUCUCAUGGUUCACAUUUGCCAACGCCGCUCCUCUCCUUACAGUAGUUAAAUGUGCAAUCUCACUUGGGGGCCCAGGGAGGGGUGGGGGUUGGGGAGGCAGAUGAGAGGCAGGGAGGACGAGGGCCAGAAACGCAAACAAGGAUGUGGAUGUGGAUGGUGAAAUGACACCCUGCAUAGGGGGAUGGGGAGUUAAAAAAGAAAAAAAACUCUGCCUUCACAUGAAAAUCUAAAACAACAACAAAAAACCACCCGCUCUGGGCGAGAACAAAAAGAGAGGAAUGGUAAAAGAGAAAAUUCUGCAAACAACUGCUAACAAUGGAAGUGGACCGGCCCUGCCCUGCCCUGCCCAGCCCCCAGGAGCCGGGCCCAGCCAACCAGCCAAGGCCUGGGACACCCUUAAACUAUAGCCCUGU